rnacentral:lncRNA from 1 species
GUUUCGUUGGCCUCAGCUGGAUAUGUCCAGGAGGAUCGAGAGAAAUCCUCUUCUCCAUCGUGGGCUUCGAUUGUUGGGGUCAAGGAUCAGGAUCUGAAAUUUGUAGAGAUUCCUGACUCUGCGAUCGUUGAUGGAUUUCUCAUCAUCCCGAAGGAGAUGAUAGAGAUGGAAAUGGAGAAAAUGCGCGAUGCUGCUGUUGCUCUGUUUGUGGGUACUGCUCCGCUUAUUUGGGUUAUUGCGUCAAUAAUAAACAUGCUCUGGGGUGGAUAUGAAGGAGAGACCAGAGGUUGUGCAAAAGGAAUGGAGAUCAAAGGCCCAAUCACCAUUUUUGCCUAUUGCCCAUCCAAAGAAAGUUGAAAUUGAACCUUCGCUGCAUGGAAAGAUUUAACUUCCCAAAGAGGAUAACAUGACACUAGCUGGAGGAGGUAUGACCAUUAAUAUUGAGACUCCUUUGAGAGUGGAGAUUGAGAUCUAGAAUGGUCUUGUAGUCUAAGCUGUACAAGUGGAGAUUGCAACCAAGUCCUCUGCUGAUGGUGAUUUGGAGAAUCAUAUAAAUGAUUUGAUUUCACAUAUUGUUAAAACUGUCAUUAUUGAAGAAUUUGAGGAUGGUUUAGAGGAAGUAGAAUCAAGAAGUUUUGUUUGGUGAUUUUAUUGGGAAAGGAAAUCUGCAUCUAGCUAAAGCCAAAAAGGGUUGAAAGAAGAAGAAAUAAAAAUUCUGGUUUGAAACCAAAGGUGUUUUAACACCUCUACAAAA